UACGAAGGGGGCUAGCGUUGCUCGGAAUCACUGGGCGUAAAGCGCACGUAGGCGGCUUUUUAAGUCAGGGGUGAAAUCCUGGAGCUCAACUCCAGAACUGCCUUUGAUACUGGGAAGCUUGAGUCCGGGAGAGGUGAGCGGAACUCCGAGUGUAGAGGUGAAAUUCGUAGAUAUUCGCAAGAGCACCAGUGGCGAAGGCGGCUCACUGGCCCGGUACUGACGCUGAGGUGCGAAAGCGUGGGGAGCAAACAGG
rnacentral:rRNA from 1 species